AUCUCAGAGAAUUGGUGCGGCUGAGCGUCUCGCCUCCCCAAAAUACGUUCCAACAAGGUUCCUGCAAAUCCACUGAAUCGCGGUGCUCGCUUUCAGAGAUCAAGCGUCUGAGGGUGUUCUGCUGGUGUUUGCAAAAGCAAAGCGCUCCCCGCGCGCUCCUGUGUAGUAUUUCCGAGAGAGAGACGAACUUUGGUUUGUCAGCUUGCGCGCGCACUGGCUUUUAAACCCGACGCGCUGUGACGCAAGGGAACCGCUGCCUGCUCUUGCCCAGCCCUCUCUCACUCUCAAUAAUUAUCACUCACCAUUUAACAUUUCAGAAAGCACUGUUUUCAUAAGAAGCGUUUGUUGGAAUCUCUUAAACGCGUUUGGAGAAGUUGCUGCAUCUAUUGAUCGAGUCCAGCGCUGGAGUGGGAGUGAUCUGCUGGGUGUCUCCAUCAAACUGACCGAUAGGAGGAGACAGAGUUCUGUGCUCAGCUCUUCAGGACAUUAGUGCUGGCCACGCUAAAUGAAAGGGCCUAUUCUCUUUGCAGAGUCAGUUUGAUUCCUGGGCAUGCCAGCGUAAUGAAGGAGUGAUGAGAUCCAAUGGCUUGGGCCACCAGCCCGGCCCAACUCUCUCUAAUUCCUGCCCCCAGCUCUUUCCACCUCAUACACACAGGCGUGUUCAGGAGAAACCACACGCACUCGUUUCUAAUGGGAGUCUUCCUGGCGAGCGCCAGCUCAUGAACAUGGAAACGUGGUUGCCCUCGUCGAUCCAAAACCUACAAUGCAUCUCUCUCAGAGCAGACUGA
rnacentral:lncRNA from 1 species